UAUUUAUGAUUUUUAGAAGAGGAGUUCGUAGAAGACGCGUUCUAAAGUUGCUUUGUGCUUGAAUUUUAGAUUUGUUAGGCAAGAGUGAGCAAAAGGUUUCUGGGCUAAACUGGUCAAGACAUAAAAGGAACUGGGCCAAUAUCACAUAGAGGCCCAAUAAACAAAGGUCGGUUUAGGAGGCAGAUGGAUGUUUUUAAUUUUUGAAGAAGUGCCGUACAACAGUUAUGGGAGUCAGCCAUAACCGCUCCAUUUCGCCUAUAAAUAGAAGCGCAAGGAUCAAAGGAAGACAUCAGCAAAUCAAUCAACAACAAGCAUUUCAUUUCUCUUAAGCUUUCUUCUUAGCUUUCGUAGUUUCCCUUGGCUUAGUAACCAAGUGAUAGUUUAGUUUAUCUCUUAACAUGUAUUAAAGAUCGUUAGUCUUCACCAAUUGUAUGACCAUGGAGGUAACCUCUCCUUCAACUUAUACAAUUGUAGACCUGAUUCUAUCCUUUACUUCAUGGAAUGCAUUUGUAUCUUUUGUCA